AACCUGGCUCAUAAUGGAGAGUUCUGGUUGCAUUGUUCCUUGGGGUUCUGUAAUCAAGAAUUCUAUCUCUACUGGGACUCAGUAACACACCAGAACUUUUUCAAAAGGCUUAUGUCUCUGUUGCAGAUGCCCUUGCUCUGGAACCCCAGGGAUCUGUGCUAUGGUACUCCCAAGGGGCUUUGUAUAUAGAUGUCCUACCGUAUUUUUUCCUACCACUAACACCUCCAGCAACACAGGGUUUACCAGUUAAAUGACCCAAGCAGUAAGGCUGCUAGUACUGUAGCCUCUCUGCAUGGAGAUGCCUUUCCUGCUUCAGGCCCCGCUGAAGACAGAAGAGAAUGCCAAACCAAGGUCUGCAUACCGUGUACCUAAGGAGUCUCCAGUCUCCACUAUCAAGGAUAACACAUCUAGCAGUUAGCCGCAAUUGGAGUUAUUAUGUCUGCAGAGGCCAGCAGCCAUUCUCUCGGAUUCACUUGGUUUCUGCAGUAGUCACUUGGGUGAAUUAAAUGCACUAGCAUAUGGCCCACCACUCUACAUUCUUCAGAUUCUGCAGGAUAGCACUGAUUUCUGCCAUUCCUCCCACCACCACCACUACCAAAGGCAAUAUUUUUUGAUUCACCAUUUGGCCAGGGAUGGAGGAGGGUGAGGGUUUAGAGCGUGGGGAUGUAGGGAGUACAGUUUCAGGGGCUUCCCAUUUAUUUCCCCCAUUAUGGCAGCUCCCAUGUAGAAGAAUUCAAGGGUAAGUAACUUCAAUGGCUAUGUUUGUCAAUCCCAGUUACACUCAGUGACUGAGGGAAUGACCGAUUGAUGAUCUCACUGAUUUGCGGGACUUAUUGAGAGCAAGACUUUGGUCAGGAUUCUGUUUUAUUACCUGUCCCUGUAUGACUUUACUUUAGCAUAAUGCUUUGGAAUAUCAUGACUCUGUUAAUUUAGACCCAAUACCCCAAAUGUAUCUUCUUCUUUCCCCCUUUGCAUGUUUUCUCAAGUAAAUUAUCACAGGUCUCUUUUGAGGAGAAUGGGAAGAACUAACAGUGUAGUAUUGUCAUGGUAUCUCAGUGUUCUUUUCCCUGUGGACUUAUUGCCUCUUUAGUCGCCAGUUUCUGAGUCUGAAAUUGGCUUCUGUAUGACAUCUAAGCAAAGGAUGAUUUUUCUAUUGGGACAACCACCCCCAGCUUACUGCUUAUCUUGCCUACUUGUGGUUGAAUAUAUUAAACAUUACCAUCUAUUUGGUUUC